rnacentral:rRNA from 1 species
CCUACGUGCGGCAGCAGUGGGGAAUAUUGCGCAAUGGGCGAAAGCCUGACGCAGCGACGCCGCGUGAGGGAUGAAGGUCUUCGGAUCGUAAACCUCUGUCAGCAGGGAAGAACGGUCACUGUGCUAAUCAGCAGUGAAUUGACGGUACCUGCAAAGGAAGCACCGGCUAACUACGUGCCAGCAGCCGCGGUAAUACGGAGGGUGCGAGCGUUAAUCGGAAUUACUGGGCGUAAAGCGCUCGUAGGCGGUACGUCAAGUCAAGGGUGAAAUCCCCGCGCUCAACGUGGGAACUGCCUUUGAAACUGGCAAACUGGAGUGUGUGAGAGGAUAGUGGAAUUCCAGGUGUAGGAGUGAAAUCCGUAGAUAUCUGGAGGAACAUCAGUGGCGAAGGCGACUAUCUGGCACAUAACUGACGCUGAGGAGCGAAAGCGUGGGUAGCAAACAGGAUUAGAUACCCUAGUAGUC